CUUUUUGUUACACAUAGGUGUUUCCGUAUGCUUUUGAGAGAUAGCCACCCCUAUAUUCUUGUUUUUCAGGUAUGGAUGUCUUUGGUUGAGAUUAACUGGAUAUGGUUUCUCAUUACAAAGUUAAAACGUUGUGAAGAGGCAAGAGUGAAUGACGGCAUUACAUCACUAACCACCAGCCACCAUCUUUUGGACUGCUCUUACUUGAGCGAGACGUGUUCAUCUCUGGAAUUUUUUCCCCAAGACCACCGUUGUUCUCUGGUGACUUCAAUAUUUCCCUCGCUCAUCUUUCUUCUUCUUACUUUCGUUUCCAUUAUCCACGCAGCGGCAAGAGUGGUAAGUAUAAAACACAAAGCAUGCCAUGUAAUUUUUCUAAUUAAAUCUUUUAAGGGCUUCUCACCGCACCAAGAACAGGCCCAUAAAUAUUUACCACGGCCUCCUAAACUCCCAAACCAUGAUCUCUUCACACUCAGCUUUCUCUAACCGUCUCCCUCUUGUUUACUGUGCUCCAGACACACUGGCCACCUGCUGUUUAUGGAAUAAUGGAAUAAAUAACGUCCUUUCCCACCGCA
rnacentral:lncRNA from 1 species